AAGGAGGAACUGAAAAUCCUAAAAAGAGUAAGUA
rfam:Flavobacterium sp. LM4 uFlavobacterium_sp_LM4_contig3, whole genome shotgun sequence.